UGGGGAAUCUUGGACAAUGGGCGCAAGCCUGAUCCAGCCAUGCCGCGUGGAUGAUGAAGGCCUUAGGGUUGUAAAAUCCUUUCGUGGGGGACGAUAAUGACGGUACCCCAAGAAGAAGCUCCGGCUAACUUCGUGCCAGCAGCCGCGGUAAUACGAAGGGGGCUAGCGUUGUUCGGAUUUACUGGGCGUAAAGCGUGUGUAGGCGGGUCGUUAAGUUGGGGGUGAAAUCCCGAGGCUCAACCUCGGAACUGCCUUCAAAACUGGCGACCUGGACCCAAGUAGAGGCAAGUGGAAUUGCGGGUGUAGCGGUGAAAUGCGUAGAUAUCAAGAGGAACACCUGAGGUGAAGACGGGUUGCUGGGCUGACACUGACGCUGAGGCGCGAAAGCCAGGGGAGCAAACGGGAUUAGAUACCCUCGUAGUCCCUGAGCGGGCUGGCAAGGCGCAU
rnacentral:rRNA from 1 species